rnacentral:rRNA from 1 species
GCUGGCGGCGUGCCUAACACAUGCAAGUCCUUACGAGAAAGUCCGCUUCGGUGGAUGAGUAAAGUGGCGCACGGGUGAGUAACGCGUGGAUAAUCUACCCCUCAGUUGGGAAUAACGUACCGAAAGGUGCGCUAAUACCGAAUGAUACUGCAUAACUACUGUUGUGUAGUCAAAGAUGGCCUCUGUUUACAAGCUAUCGCUGAAGGAUGAGUCCGCGUACCAUUAGCUAGUUGGUAGGGUAAUGGCCUACCAAGGCGACGAUGGUUAGCUGGUCUGAGAGGAUGAUCAGCCACACUGGAACUGAGACACGGUCCAGACUCCUACGGGAGGCAGCAGUGAGGAAUAUUGCGCAAUGGGGGCAACCCUGACGCAGCAACGCCGCGGGAGUGAGGAAGGUUUUCGGACCGUAAAGCUCUGUCGAGCGGGAAGAAAUGUGUAAUGGCUAAUAUCCAUUAUAUUUGACGGUACCGCUAAAGGAAGCACCGGCUAACUCCGUGCCAGCAGCCGCGGUAAUAUGGGGGGUGCGAGCGCCGUUCGGAAUUCUUGGGCGUACAGAGCGUGUAGGCGGCUGGAUAAGUCAGAUGUGAAAGCCCUGGGCUUAACCCAGAAAGUGCAUUUGAAACUGUUCCACUGGAGUAAGGGAGAGGAAAGUGGAAUUCCUGGUGUAGAGGUGAAAUUCGUACAUAUCAGGAGGAACACCGGUGGCGAAGGCCUCUUUCCCGGGCCCUAUACUGACGCCUGA